rnacentral:rRNA from 1 species
CGAACGCUGGCGGCGUGCCUAAUACAUGCAAGUUGGGCGCUGAAGGUUGGUACUUGUACCAACUGGAUGAGCAGCGAACGGGUGAGUAACGCGUGGGGAAUCUGCCUUUGAGCGGGGGACAACAUUUGGAAACGAAUGCUAAUACCGCAUAAAAACUUUAAACACAAGUUUUAAGUUUGAAAGAUGCAAUUGCAUCACUCAAAGAUGAUCCCGCGUUGUAUUAGCUAGUUGGUGAGGUAAAGGCUCACCAAGGCGAUGAUACAUAGCCGACCUGAGAGGGUGAUCGGCCACAUUGGGACUGAGACACGGCCCAAACUCCUACGGGAGGCAGCAGUAGGGAAUCUUCGGCAAUGGACGAAAGUCUGACCGAGCAACGCCGCGUGAGUGAAGAAGGUUUUCGGAUCGUAAAACUCUGUUGGUAGAGAAGAACGUUGGUGAGAGUGGAAAGCUCAUCAAGUGACGGUAACUACCCAGAAAGGGACGGCUAACUACGUG